rnacentral:tRNA from 2 species
GGAGAGGUGCCAGAGUGGCCGAAUGGGCCGCACUCGAAAUGCGGUGAACCUUUGCGGGUUCCGUGGGUUCGACUCCCACCCUCUCCGCCA